UGGGGAAUAUUGGACAAUGGGCGCAAGCCUGAUCCAGCCAUGCCGCGUGAGUGAUGAAGGCCCUAGGGUUGUAAAGCUCUUUCACCGGUGAAGAUAAUGACGGUAACCGGAGAAGAAGCCCCGGCUAACUUCGUGCCAGCAGCCGCGGUAAUACGAAGGGGGCUAGCGUUGUUCGGAUUUACUGGGCGUAAAGCGCACGUAGGCGGACUUUUAAGUCAGGGGUGAAAUCCCGGGGCUCAACCCCGGAACUGCCUUUGAUACUGGAAGUCUUGAGUAUGGUAGAGGUGUGUGUAAUUCCGCGUGUAGAGGUGAAAUUCGUAGAUAUUCGGAGGAACACCAGUGGCGAAGGCGGCUCACUGGACCAUUACUGACGCUGAGGUGCGAAAGCGUGGGGAGCAAACAGG
rnacentral:rRNA from 1 species